GAACGGGAAGGCCGUUUCGGCGGUUGGAGAGUGGCGAACGGGUGAGUAACACGUAACUGAUCUGCCCUUUAGGCUGGGAUAACCUUUGGAAACAGAGGCUAAUACCGGAUAAGCUCGCGGUAGUUAGAGAGCCGUGAGGGAAUGCGAUUAAGCGCUAGAGGAUGAGGUUGCGGGCCAUCAGCUGGUUGGUGAGGUAAAGGCUCACCAAGGCGAUGACGGUUAGGGGAUCUGAGAGGGUGGCCCCCCACACUGGGACUGAGACACGGCCCAGACUCCUACGGGAGGCAGCAGUAAGGGAUAUUGCACAAUGGACGGAAGUCUGAUGCAGCGACGCCGCGUGGGUGAAGAAGGUUUUCGGAUCGUAAAGCCCUUUUCUAUGUGACGAGAGAGGACGGUAGCAUAGGAAUAAGUAUCGGCUAACUACGUGCCAGCAGCCGCGGUAAAACGUAGGACACGAACGUUAUCCGGAGUUACUGGGCGUAAAGCGCGUGCAGGCGGUUGGUCAAGUUACCUAUGAAAGUUAUCGGCUAAACUGGUAAUGGUUAGGUGAAACUGGUUAACUAGAGAGAAAUAGAGGGAAGUAGAAUUCCGGGUGUAGUGGUGAAAUGCGUAGAUAUCCGGAGGAAUACCGGUGGCGAAGGCGGCUUCCUGGAUUUCCACUGACGCUGAUGCGCGAAAGCGUGGGUAGCGAACGGGAUUAGAAACCCCGGUAGUCCACGCCGUAAACGA
rnacentral:rRNA from 1 species